GGUGAGUAACACGUAUCCAACCUGCCGUCUACUCUUGGACAGCCUUCUGAAAGGAAGGUUAAUACAAGAUGGCAUCAUGAGUCCGCAUGUUCACAUGAUUAAAGGUAUUCCGGUAGACGAUGGGGAUGCGUUCCAUUAGAUAGUAGGCGGGGUAACGGCCCACCUAGUCUUCGAUGGAUAGGGGUUCUGAGAGGAAGGUCCCCCACAUUGGAACUGAGACACGGUCCAAACUCCUACGGGAGGCAGCAGUGAGGAAUAUUGGUCAAUGGGCGAGAGCCUGAACCAGCCAAGUAGCGUGAAGGAUGACUGCCCUAUGGGUUGUAAACUUCUUUUAUAAAGGAAUAAAGUCGGGUAUGCAUACCCGUUUGCAUGUACUUUAUGAAUAAGGAUCGGCUAACUCCGUGCCAGCAGCCGCGGUAAUACGGAGGAUCCGAGCGUUAUCCGGAUUUAUUGGGUUUAAAGGGAGCGUAGAUGGAUGUUUAAGUCAGUUGUGAAAGUUUGCGGCUCAACCGUAAAAUUGCAGUUGAUACUGGAUAUCUUGAGUGCAGUUGAGGCAGGCGGAAUUCGUGGUGUAGCGGUGAAAUGCUU
rnacentral:rRNA from 1 species